UACGUAGGGUGCAAGCGUUAAUCGGAAUUACUGGGCGUAAAGCGUGCGCAGGCGGCUUUGCAAGACAGAUGUGAAAUCCCCGGGCUUAACCUGGGAACUGCAUUUGUGACUGGCGGGCUAGAGUAUGGCAGAGGGGGGGUAGAAUUCCACGUGUAGCAGUGAAAUGCGUAGAGAUGUGGAGGAAUACCGAUGGCGAAGGCAGCCCCCUGGGCCAAUACUGACGCUCAUGCACGAAAGCGUGGGGAGCAAACAGG
rnacentral:rRNA from 1 species